AUGCUGGAGCAGAUGGUGGUUGUGGUGGGCAUAGAGUGUUUCUCCCCGGGGGAUGAUAAUGUGAGGGUGAAGCUGAAGCCUCUAACCAGCGCAAAAUGGAACAGCAAAGCUUGCAGACUAGAGCUCUUCAGGAGCCCGGUCACUGACGGUUCAGGUCCUGCUUACAACCACGAACUAGCUUCUGAUUUUGAGUUUGCUGACCCUUUUGACCUCAAGUACUACAAAAAAGCAGGAAGGAUCUCUGUAAGUUAA
rnacentral:rRNA from 1 species